AGAGGAGCUGCCCCUAGUACGAGAGGACCGGGGUGGACGUACCUCUGGUGUACCGGUUGUUCCGCCAGGAGCAUCGCCGGGUAGCUAAGUACGGAAGGGAUAACCGCUGAAAGCAUCUAAGCGGGAAGCCCACCUUGAUACUAGGUCUCGCAUGAGAGCCGUGGUAGACCACCACGUUGAUAGGCUGGAUGUGGAAGCGUGGCAACACGUGAAGCUGACCAGUACUAAUUGCUCGAUUGGCUUGAUUGU
rnacentral:rRNA from 1 species